UCCCUAGUGGCUCAGCUGGUAAAGAAUCUGCUCGCAAUGCAGGAGACCCAGGUUCGAUUCCUGGGUUGGGAA
rfam:TPA: Bos taurus chromosome 23, whole genome shotgun sequence.